GUGCUUGCUUCAGCAGCACAUAUAAUAAAAGAAAUUGGAACGAUACAGAGAAGAUUAGCAUGGCCCCUGCGUGAGGAUGACAUGCAAAUUCAUGAAGCUUUCCAUAUUAAA